AUUGAACGCUGGCGGCAGGCCUAACACAUGCAAGUCGAGCGGAGCGGCGGACGGGUGAGUAAUGCUUAGGAAUCGGCCUGUUCGUGGGGGAUAACGUCCGGAAACGGGCGCUAAUACCGAACCCUAUCAGAUGAGCAUAGGUCGGAUUAGCAAGUGGGUGGGGUAAAGGCCUACCAAGGCGACGAUCCGUAUCUGGUCUGAGAGGAUGAUCAGUCACACUGGAACUGAGACACGGUCCAGACUCCUACGGGAGGCAGCAGUGGGGAAUAUUGGACAAUGGGCGAAAGCCUGAUCCAGCCAUGCCGCGUGUGUGAAGAAGGUCUUCGGAUUGUAAAGCACUUUAAGUUGGGAGGCGUUACCAACAGAAGAAGCACCGGCUAACUUCGUGCCAGCAGCCGCGGUAAUUC
rnacentral:rRNA from 1 species